rnacentral:piRNA from 8 species
UGGGUCGGGGUUUCGUACGUAGCAGAGCAG